UACGAAGGGGGCUAGCGUUGCUCGGAAUCACUGGGCGUAAAGGGUGCGUAGGCGGGUCUUUAAGUCAGGGGUGAAAUCCUGGAGCUCAACUCCAGAACUGCCUUUGAUACUGAAGAUCUUGAGUCGGGAGAGGUGAGUGGAACUGCGAGUGUAGAGGUGAAAUUCGUAGAUAUUCGCAAGAACACCAGUGGCGAAGGCGGCUCACUGGCCCGGUACUGACGCUGAGGUGCGGAAAGCGUGGGGAGCAAACAGGAUU
rnacentral:rRNA from 1 species